rnacentral:rRNA from 1 species
GACGAACGCUGGCGGUGUGCUUAACACAUGCAAGUCGAACGGUAAGGCCCUUUCGGGGGUACACGAGUGGCGAACGGGUGAGUAACACGUGAGUAACCUGCCCUCAUCUCUGGGAUAACAGUCGGAAACGGUUGCUAAUACUGGAUAUGAGCCUGCAAGGCAUCUUGUGGGUUGGAAAGAUUUGUUGGUUGGGGAUGGACUCGCGGCCUAUCAGCUUGUUGGUGAGGUAGUGGCUCACCAAGGCUUCGACGGGUAGCCGGCCUGAGAGGGCGACCGGCCACAUUGGGACUGAGAUACGGCCCAAACUCCUACGGGAGGCAGCAGUGGGGAAUAUUGCACAAUGGACGGAAGUCUGAUGCAGCAACGCCGCGUGCGGGAUGACGGCCUUAGGGUUGUAAACCGCUUUCAAUUGUGACGAAGCUUUUUGUGACGGUAGCAGUAGAAGAAGCACCGGCUAACUACGUG